rnacentral:lncRNA from 13 species
CAGCUGCUUCUCUCUAAGACCCAUUGUUGGAGGCUUCUGAAGGAGCCCAGCUUCCUGUUUCAAGGGCAAAGACUACACUCUGGAAGCAUGGAUCCUGGACAGCCCAUGCUCCCGAGCUUCUGCAGAUGAAGCUUCUAAUGGUCGGCAGAAGACUCCAGCAUCACCAGACAGUGCCACAUACAGAAACAGCUACCUGUCCUGAAGCCGUUGGCUUUCUAGGGCUCCAGGCUUGCCUCUCCAAAUGCC